UACGAAGGGGGCUAGCGUCGCUCGGAAUCACUGGGCGUAAAGGGUGCGUAGGCGGGUCUUUAAGUCAGGGGUGAAAUCCUGGAGCUCAACUCCAGAACUGCCUUUGAUACUGAGGAUCUUGAGUACGGGAGAGGUGAGUGGAACUGCGAGUGUAGAGGUGAAAUUCGUAGAUAUUCGCAAGAACACCAGUGGCGAAGGCGGCUCACUGGCCCGUAACUGACGCUGAGGCACGAAAGCGUGGGGAGCAAACAGG
rnacentral:rRNA from 1 species